CAAAGACAAGGUUUUUGGGUUUUAUUCUUGCCCAUUAUGCAGAAUUACAAAAAAAGCUUGGCUGUGGUAUAGUGGCUUUCUUGAUCCACAGAUGGCAGUAGGAAAAAUAAGGCUUCAAUUCAUGAAGAAAAAUUGGGUUCUGCAGGACACAGCCUUCCUGAAAAUGCCUUUGGCUCCAGCCCCAGGAUCCCAGAGGCAGGGUGUUGCAUGCUGUGGGGCUGUGCUGGUCACUGACAUUGUUCAUGUCCUGGAGCAUUUUUAAGGACUCUCUAAUGGGUAUGGAAGCCAAAAAUCAGGAAAGUUAAAUAAGCUCGAGUAAAAGAUCUUAUUUAUCCAGAACUCUGUUUGUAAUGCUGUUUUUUCAUGAAGAACAAGCACCUGGCGAAGCAAUUUCUAACUUGAGGAAUUUGGUUUCUCUGGAGGAUGGUGUGAUAACCUUGGCACAGACUGUGGUGGUCUCUGGUAGUGAGCAGCAGAUACUGGUGAGUUUUUCAGUAUUUGGUAAUUGAAAUAACAUUGCUGCUACUUCUUUCUUCUUUCCAAUUCUAGGAAUUCCCCUACUAUGAACUGAAGGCAGGCAGUUUUACUUAAGAGUAAUAAUUUAAAAAUUGUAAUCAACUAUGCAUAAAUUGCCUAAACUCACGCUGAUACUCUUGGUUUCAUGGCUCAGUGCUUGAAUAUGUAAAUAGAAGAGUGACACUGCAUUAAAAACCCUAGAGAAAUGCUGCUCUUGAAUUGCUUGUUUGGGAAUGACAUUAAUUACAAAAUAGACAGGCUGGGAAACCACAUAGAAAUCUGUCCCUGACAAUGGCAUGAACACUCCUAAGGGCUUUGUCACACAACCUGCAUGUUUUUACACAUAAUCAAGUUGAUUAAUAAAAUGACAGAUUAACAAGUUCUUUCUUCUGCC
rnacentral:lncRNA from 1 species